CCCUAACCAUCUGAGUACUCUUGUUUCACUCGCUUAGUCACUCCUUCUCAGUCUGUCAUUCACUCCGUCAUCACGCUGACGUCUCUGUUGCGGCCAAGCCUCCGUCACGGCCACAACGUCCUCUGCGGGCCCACAUACAGGUAAGGAUUUGUAUCUUAUCCUUUGGCUUUUGGGUGUUGUAAUGUGUUGCACAAAAGCUACAUUCCACUUGUCUCCGCCGCACAUGGCUGAAUCCCACAGAACCCAACCCUCUCGCCGGCAGCCCAGUUGUGCCUGUAGAGUCACGCCCCGUUCUCGAGUGAAACGUCGCGAUCCCGUUUCUGUCCCUAGUGGUCUCAUCAGCCCCUCUGCCGUCGCAGAAGGACGAGCGCCCGCCGCUGCAGCAACAACAACCCCGCUGCACCGUUUUGCUACGAACCACCUUCGUUGGUUCCUCAUUGUAAGGAUUUCACUCACCUACUCUGGUUCACUCUUCAUUGACAAUUGCGUUUCGCUCUGACUUAUCUGUGAGCAAUCUGUAGGUCUGUGCUCUAUACUCACCCCUCUUUUCUUUUUUAUUUUUGCUGUAACUUCUUUCAUUUGUUCUCACUUCAUUCCUCUGUGUUGUGCUGCCUCUACAUUCUUUUUAUGCUCGUUGAUUCUUGUUAAUAAUUUGUUAAUCAGAUUAAUAAUAAUUGGGUGUAUAACAUACGAGUUUUGAUCAUUAAUGAUGAAUAUAUUUCUAA